rnacentral:rRNA from 1 species
UACGUAGGAGGCAAGCGUUGUCCGGAUUUACUGGGCGUAAAGCGCGCGCAGGCGGCAGUGCAAGUAAGGUGUGAAAUCUCCCUGCUCAACGGGGAGGGUGCAUUUUAGACUGCACAUCUAGAGGUCGGUAGAGGGGGGUGGAAUUGCUGGUGUAGCGGUGAAAUGCGUAGAGAUCAGCAGGAACACCCGUGGCGAAGGCGGCCCCCUGGGCCGUACCUGACGCUGAGGCGCGAAGGCUAGGGGAGCGAACGGG